UCAUUCAACCUGGUCUCAUGGGAAAUACGUACCUCUGUACACUUUUUUGCAGGACCACAAAUAUGUACUAACAGGUACGUAUUGCUACAGUUUUGAAAAAUAAACGUCCACUGGGGUCGCUAAAGAGAAGAACUCCAUGUGACAUAAUUAGGAGUUGCAUUACAUUACAUCGCGAGAUUUAACAACGCAUGUUGUUACUCCAUAUCAGUCAUUUGAUGGACAGUGGGCAACCAAAUAAAAAAGAUGGCAAUUUCUGCAAAAUGAUUAAUUCUAUAGACUUGCUGCUCCACAAGUUGGAAAUACUUGGUGUCUUACCAAUGUUAUUUAUAACUUUGCAGAGAGGCCUGCACCACUCUACCAAAAUUUAAGGUUGCCCCUCUAGAGUCAGUUGCCCCACCACUAUGGUCAGAGACCCCACCGCUGCAGCCGAAGACCCCGCCUCUCCAGUCAGCGACCCCACCACUGUGGCCAGAGACCCUGCCAUUACCAUCAUAGGCCCCACCACUACAAUCAACCACCCUGUCACUACAGUCAGCGUUUCCGCAACUGUGGCCAGAGAGUCCACCACUACCAUCAGAGGCUCUGCGACUACUGUCAGCAACCCCGCAACUGCGGCCAGAGACCACAGCUGUGUGGCAAGAAGUUCCUGGGUGUCUGAGGAUGCUGUACAGUAGUAUGUGUCUGUUUAAAAACAUGCCAUUAUACAUAUCAAUACAGUAUUUGUCAUCAUAGAAAGUUAUUCUAUACAUUUUGUUUAACACUUUAGUUUGUCUUAUUCUUGAAGGUCUGUUGUUGUCAAAAUGUAUUGAUAUUUAGAUAUAAAAAUCAGGAAAAAAAACAGUUUUGUUGUCAACACAUCUACACAUGUUGUUGUUACACUAAUGUGUGGUGAAUACUAUGUAUUAAAGAUGUUUAUAUACAAAAUUUUAUAAAUAAGUUCUUGUGAUUUUUAUUUCAUAAUUGAUUUGGAUAAAAAGGAAAUACAAAUUUCCUUCUCCUAGAAAUGAAUAUUUAAGACAAUAAUGUGCUACAUACUACCUACAUGAACUCUGAACCUUGUUGUUAUAUUGAGUGGCCUGGUAAACAAUUAAGUUUUACAUGUCUACUGAAUGUUUACAUGGUUGUCUUUAUUUACCGUCAUCUCUGUACUCUUGAUUUUGUUCUACAGAUCAUGCUAAUAAAAUAAAUGAUGAAACCUAUUUUAAAUGGG